AUAUAAAUUAGUUGGGGAUCUUGUUAAAAUGCAGAUUCUGAUUCAGCAGGGGCCUGAGGUCCUGCAUUUCUAACAACCUCCAAAGUGAUGCUGAAGCUGCU
ensembl:miRNA